CUCUAUGCUCUACCUCCCCGUUUUUCUGGUUACUUUCUCCUUUUCAAAUUGUAAUUCACUGAUCGCUGUCGUUUCACCAUUUUUGUUGUUUUUUCUUUGCUUGUUUCAUCCCUCGCCGAUUUGGCCGCCUGCCGCCGCUGCCCCGCCGCCACUCCCCUUCCCUCCCCCUCCCUUUCCUCUUCACUCACUCAACACACUUCCUAUUCUCUUUCUCGUUUUCUAUUGACCCUUCUCUGUUGCUUCCCCCCUCUCUUUUUUUCGCUGUUUUCUGGUCUCUCCUCUCUGCAUCUCCUACUCUUCUUUUUCGCCCCCAUCCCUUCUCCCUCCCCCUUCUCCAUCUCAUUCGCGCCCUCUGCCGCUGUUUGUGGGGGGCGGGUCAACAUUGGCACACAAAGCCUUUCAUCACGCACGUCAUCACGCCCGAGAAGGACGGGCUCAGGCCUUGGGGUUCCGUUUGCUUGCCUCUUGUGCGAAGUGCUUUUGUUGCACUCGCGCCCGUUCACGCGCAAGUGAGGGAGAGCCUCGUGGAAGUGGCAAGUAUCGCUCUCAGCUCCCCUCCUCUGCACGCAAACAUAGCAUUUCUCCUCACACUCGUCUAGUGUUCUUCGGGACGACGCCCCCCCCCCCUCGCCUCCCUGCCCCUCCUCCUCUCCGGCUUCAGAUCCCGCGUCCUGCAUAGGAUACAUCCCUGCCAUACAAGGUGCAAGGGGUGUGCAUGCGUAUCGAUACAAGUACCCGAAUAAGAAAAGCGUUGCCGCUUUUUUUUCUUUUCGUGUGCUGGGCUUUACUGCUGCACGACGUCGCUAGAGUAGGAAGAGGCAUACACACGCUCUCCGCGCUCCAGAAAGGAAGGCGAUAGGGAGAUAGAAAAAGGAGCUCCAUAGACAAUACAGAGGAAAAACGAAAAGGAAAGACACAGAAGCAGAAAGUAGGACGAGGAGCGAGUGCCUGGGCGCACGAAAAAAAACUAAAGAGAAAGUGCACAGCCUCCAGAGACCGACUGAUCGAGAAAACCUCACAGACAAGGAAACCGGGGCAGAAACUAUCGAGCACGAAAGAACACAAAGAGGCGACCGCGUGAGGGAGCACUCUCACUCUUUCCCUCCUUCUUUCUUUCUUUUUUUUUCUUGUGUGCUGCUGUCGGGUCUGUUCAAUCUCCUUCGUCUCUGCUGACCUCACCUCACCUCACCUCCACUCCCCAAGAAAAAAAAACCUUUUUUUGUCUGCCUGUGCGCGUGUGCUUCUUGUUUUUCGUUGCUUUUCUUUGCUCUCUCUCUUGAGUGAGUUCCUGCCGGUUGUCGUCGUCCUUUGUGUUUUUGCCUCUCGUUUUCUCGCGUCCGUUCGACUCGUGCGCGUUCUUCUUUUUGCUUCUGCGGUUGAGGUGAGCGCCUUCACUCAGGGCAGAAACCUGAAGAAAGAGAUCAAGUGCAUGCCACCUGGAGGUGGGGAUAAAGCAGAUCAGAAGGUCAGAACAGCGCCAAGAGGCACGGCGUUCGUGCUUACAGGCGUCAACCAGAGAGGCACCGUUCUCCACGUCUUUGCCCCCGUCCUUUUUUGUUUUUUUUUCUUUUUGCUGUUUGUCGUUCACCUUCUCGAUUUCCCUUCUCUUCUCGCCAUCUUUCGUGCUCGGUGUUUCUUUCUCGUGCUGUUUGUCAGUUUUGUGUUCGCUCUAGCGCUCUUCGCACACAUACACACGCAAGCGACGCUGUCAGGCUGUCUUAUCAGAUUCCCACUCAUUUUAGUUUGGUGUUGACGACGAACAGGAAAUCUGCCCAUACCCAACCAUCUGUCACACACACAUCCACUCUCGCUUUCUACACCACUCGUUUCCGACUCUGACUCGCCGCCACGUGGAGCGCUAGUUGGCAUACACUCCCUCCCUCCCCUUAUCUUUCUCUUUCGUUUCUUGUGAUACUAAGUUCUAGCAAGCUCCCUCUUUCUUUCCAUUGUUUUUACGUUUGUGAUUGCCUUUUUUUUUAUAUUUGCACUUCUGUUCUCUCUAUAUCUCUCCCUCUAUAUAUUAUAUAUUAAGUAUCUUUUUUUUUCGUUGUUGUUUGCUCCUCCUUCCUUUAGUUUGCGUGUACGUGUGCGUAGCAUUAGCUCCUCGCUUAGCCGCCCCCGCAGUCUUUUUUUUUUUCAGCGUUUUCAGAUUUACCGUCUCGAGAUUUUCUUCGCUCCUGCCAGUGUGUGUGUGUGUGUGUCUUUCUCUCUUCGGCGCUCUCUUUUCGUUCCCCACGAACCGACUCACACUCUCACUCACUUCACAAACUUCUGUUCUAGGAAACGUGCGCGCUCGAGUUUGCUUCACAGGGGCCACCCUUCACGAUUCUAGCCACCUGUUUCCCUCUCUUACCCCUCAUCGCAGGCAGGCCACCCACAUCAGGUCGUUUUUGGCGCUUCGUUCCUUGCUCUCUCUUCUCCCGCAUUUCCUUUCUCGAGUCGUGACUCGUGUGUGUUGUUCAGUGCGCUCAUCUCUUCACACAUUGCUUUUUUUUUGUUUCUCGUCUUCCGUGUUUCGAAUGUGUUUCUGUUGUACGAGCAACGGUACUAGCGGACUCACUCACACCCCAUUCUCGCGAAAGCUGCGCGCACGAAGCGAAAGCUUGCUAGAUACACAGACACACAGACGGAGCGAAGCACGCACACUUAUACACAGCCACCCCUGAUCCGGCGCACCCCACCACCACCUCCCUGUCACGCCUCUCUGUUUGCCUUCUCCGGCGCGGGUUUAUCUGUUUCUUGUCCUUCCGGUUUUCAUCUCCUCUUUCUCGCCUCCGAUCCCGCGCACCUUUUUCUUUUGUUUCUCUUUUUGCGUGUGCGUGUGUGCGUGUUCUCUAUCUCUUAUCUAUAAGGGACUUUUUUUUCUAUUUUGCCUCCAUCGCCGUUUGACUUGCGCUCUUUUUUUCGUAUUGCUCUUUAGCAUCUUCUGCCAUCCCCUAGUUUCUCGACGGACCCUUCAAGCUUCACCGUUCUCCCUUCCUCCCUUACGCAGAUUUACACUCGCCCGGCACGGUGUCAGAGUCUGACUGGUGAGGUGUGCGCACAGAGAGUGCUUCAGACGCAGUUCCAGCACUGGUCUGCGUCACUGCUCGUACCCGUGCAGAGGGACAACUGCUUCUUUACUUUGUCUCUUUCCGCGGUAACGGACGCGAUUCGUCCCGUCUGAGACAGAAUCAGCCGCCCGGUUGUGAGAUCCCUCUUCGUGUUUGUGCCCGCGUUGGCGUAUUCUGCACGAGAGAGAGAGAUUAGAGAACGCUACGCACUGCGCACAUGUCCGGCUUGGAUUCCCAUGGCAAGGCCAUGGGAGAGGCGCAAUCAGAUAGGCAAAUGAGCUCCUCUUCGCUCACCGCUGCAUCACGAGCCACUCCCAACCCAGCCGCAGCGGACGGUGGCGCUGCCGCCCAUGCCGGUGGCUCCCCUGUGGAUAACGAGAUGGACGAGCACGUGCCACCGGUCAUUGCCCACGUCCGCAAGAACUUCGGCGUACUCGCCCCUACCAUUGAGCCCUUCAUCUACCGUAGCGGUUGCCUCAACAAGUCAGUGGUAGACGUGUACAACAACCUGUCGCGCAACUACAUUGCCAUUGUAGAUGCUGCCCUCAAGCAGGUAGGAUUUGAAGAGUUCACGAUGCAGAUGCAGAUCAUGCUGACCCAGAUCCUGUCUGAGGAGUUUGGCGAAGAUACGGAGUACCUCGUCAACACCAUCCUAACGUACACCGGCGCCGACUCCCUGUUCGUCUCCCUUCUCUCGAAAUCUAUGCUGGACCAGGUCAUCACGUACGCGCAAUCAAUCAUGAGCGGCAACAUGUACGGCAUGAGCUACAACAUGCAGAGCGGCGGAGGCGGCGGUGGUCGCGGCUCUGAGGGUGUCGGUAAUAGUUACUACCGUGGUGCCCAACAGCAUCACGGAUACCGUGGUGCCGGUGAAAACGGCUCAUCGCGCGAUCUCCGCGGCAGCUCCGUCGCCGCCAGCCCUCCUCAUCAGGACGGGGCCGCACCACAGAAGCCGUACCGCAGCAGCGGCCUCCCACCCCACUCCAGCGACCCAGGCAGGGAGCGCAGCAGCGAUGAUUUGCGGGCCACCAGCGAUGUAAUCUCACAACGCGAGGAGAGUCGGGAUUGGGGGGGAGGCGCUUCAGUGCCGCCUCGCGGCGCUACUGCGACCGGGGGCAUCCACGUAGAUUCUAGUGUUGGUCCCCGGGGCGGUGCCGCUCCCAUGAGCGGGAUGGGCGCAGGUGCGGCCAGUCGCACAGAGGUGUCCGUGAGCCGGGCCACGAGCGAGACUACAUCUGGAGCAGGAGUAGUGCCACGUCACACGCACCAUCACUUCUCCUCUUCUACAGCGGCCGCCGCUCCCGCCGCGAAGCCGUCGUCGAUGGAGCGAGGUGGGAUGAGCGGGGCUCCGCAGCACAACCUCCUACCCCCGCGAGCUUCACCGGCGAGCAGCCAGCCGCGCGUGUCCACGCCAGGGGCGCCAAGCGUGUCGCAGGCCACCACCACUUCCCCGAUGCCGACGAUGGGACGCGGCGGGCCGGGCAUCCCGAUGCACCACCAUCACCAUCACUUGGGCAUAGGCGCAAUGGCAACCAACAGUGCCGCGGCCAGUGACUGGGCCGCCAGCAACAGCGUAUCUGGGUCCACACCAAGCAUCAACGCCGCUGGGCAGCGCACCCUGACCCCACCAACGCCGCAGUCCGCAUCGAUGCAGCAGCAUCAACAUCAGCACAUGCAGCAGCAAUCCCAGCAACAGCUGCCGCAGCCGCAGCAGCCGACGCGCACCAUGAACAUUCCCGCCCCCUUGAGUGUGCAGCGCCGCACAGAAAAGAACGCGGCAGCAGCAGCAGCAGCGGCGGCAGCCGCAGCAGCCGCUGCCCCGGCAGCAGCACCCGCUAACGGCAGUGCGCCUCCCAAUUCGUCUGGCCUCAGUAGUAGUAGCGCAGCUGUAGAGGGAGGGGCUGCGCCACGCAACAUGUCUGCGCCUCUCAGCGGGAGCGCGAACGUCCCGGCGCCGCGCGGGGCGCAGUCACUCCCCCAUCACCAGCACCACAUGCCCGUCUCUCACCACCAUCACCAUCACCAUCAUUUCGUCGCGUCCCCGCCCGCGGUCACUGCAGCUGUGCAGCCGCCCUCCGCUACGCACUCGCCACCAGCUUCCGAGGAGCGCGUUGCGACCAUUCCCGCCGACUCCACGGGCACGCCGGCGCCGGAGACGAACUUACCCGCUAAUCAGGCCUCUGCAUCGACCCCAGCCCCGGCCAGGUCCCCUCCUGCCACCAGCGUCUCGACGACUUCCGCACCCCCGCCAGCGUUGCGUGGCCUAGGCCGCAUCCCCUUGCAUCAUCACCACCAUCAUAUGCACUUGAUGAUGAAUAAAGUAGAUGCGGCCUCGGCGCCGCAACGGCAGCCGCAACCGAUUCCUGCGACGUUGCAGCUGCAGCCACAGCCGCACCUGCCGCAGCCGCAGCAGCGCGUGGCCACCGCGAUCGACGUGCAUGACCAGCAGCAGCAGGAGCGGACGAACGCCGCCAACGGUCGCUGGCCCAAUCAAAAGGAGGAACUGCGAGGCAUGCUGCUGACCGCGCGCGUGUCGGAGAGCGCGGUCACGUACUUGCUGACGGACGUGAACAUAGAAGAGCUGCGUGGCUUGAAGUACGUAGAUUUUGAGAAGAAGCUUCGCGGUGGUAUUCCGCUGAUGUUAGAUCGCCAGCGCAUCCGUCAGGUGCUGUCCAGCAGCGCCGCUGUGCAGAGUCAGUCGAGCGACAAUGACGACUCCGCGACGAGCUCCAACCGAAAGACUGCAACCAGCGGAGUAGGCGCAGAGGAGGAGGAGGCGGGCGGGUCUGGACUGCCUCGGCGACCCCCGGCCAUUUCCACGGCGUGCAGAGCCCGGUGACGUCGCACCAGUCCUCGCCUAUUAGCAAGGCUGGAGUGCAGGUGCCGCAGCCUCGAACGAAGAUGCAGCAGCAGCAACAGCAGCAGACGCAGCAAUCCAUCAACGGCGGCAGUGCCGUGGCCUCGCCAGCGGAUGCGAGCUUUUCCUCACCGGAGAAGGAGUCCGACAAGCGUGAGGGCGGCACCAAGACGGGGAGCCCGACGACGGCCAGCGGCGCACCCACCUCCCCGGUGCCGGCCUCAACUCCGGCGCCUUCCCCCAACAGUAGCUACAGCCCUAGUACUCGCAACGAGGAUCCCGAGGAUAGCCGUGAGGAGGAGCAGCGGCGUGGUAGCGGACGCCGUGGCGGGAAGCGUGGCGGUCUGGGGCGCGGCGGCUUCAGCUCAUCGCGCGUGUGCAGGUUCUUCGGUACUGCAGAGGGGUGCCAGUACGGAGACAAGUGCCACUACAUGCACAGCAAGUAAGCUGCUAUAGCGGCGAGGGUAGAUGAUGGAGCGCUAAGUGUUUCCAGUGACUCUCAGGCGGGCGUAGAGAGUUGCGCCCUCGUUUAUUGAAUCCCAAUGCUUGUCCCUGUGCUUCUUCUACCUCAUGCGGCUGGCGGGAACCCUGCACGGCGCUCCGGCCCAACCUCCUUCGUUUCUUCUCUUGCGCACCAUAACACACUGCUAAGCGCCGCGGAGUGGCCGCUCGUGUGGUGAUGCUCGUCUUACGGAUAGUCGGGCAUGGCAGGCCUGCUUGAGUAUCGGUGAACUUCCUUUCGCCUUGACCUCUUGCCUUUCUCGCUGCGCCAGCCGCGUUUUGGUUGCUAUCUUCCCGUUGCGCUGCGAGGGUGUGCGGUGCGUGCGGCACAUGCGUCCCUUUCCGCCGCUCACCACGACUAACACCACCACCACCCCAUCUCUUGCCGUGUGGCAGUGUCGUCCGUUUCGCUGCUUGUGCUUGCCGUUGUUGUGUGCUGUUCGGUCCUCUAUCCCAGCACCCGCCUUUUCCUUUCGAUUUUUUUUUCAUUUGCCCUUCGCCUGUUCCCUUUGUUUCCCGUCUGUUCUUUCUGUACAUUUUCCUUGUACGCUCCUCUGUCUUCGCGUUGUGUUGUUCUUUUUUUUUUACGUUGUUGGGCGCAGGCAGGUGUAUCGGCGCGCAUGUGUGGCCGUGCCUACCUGCGUGCGUGUGUACGUACGUGCGUGUGUAUGUGCCUCCCUCUCUGUGCGCUGGAUUGUGGGCUCUUUACAAACGACAUAUGUUUUAUCUCAUUGUUUCCCGGUUGUUCUCCUGUGUUUGUGUGCGUAGGGGCGUUCUCCCUCUUCCUUGUCGCCUUUUUGAAACUGCUGAGAAAACAUAUAGCGAAAGAAACGGCCACGUGAACAACAAAAAAGACAAUGAAUCUUUCUUUCCGAUUCGUCUGCGCAUCGGCUAGCAAGAGCAUCUCGCGCCCCCUCUCUCCUUCUCACCCCUACCUCUCCCUUACGGCCUGCCCCCUUCCCACUUAGUCUCCUUCGGUUCACAGCAGCACAGGAAACAGCAAGCACAGGCUAAAUCGAAAAAGUGAGGGCGUGAAGAGGGGCGCAAGCGUCUUCGUCUCUCCUCCAUUCAAUACAGGAUUGGGCGAUGUGAGCCGCUGUCCGCAGGUACGUCUGCACAUCUGUUUUUUUUUCGCGUGUGUUUUUUCAUCUGUGGUUGUUGUCUGUGUUGCUCUCCUCUUUUUUUUGCUGUUCUUUUUCGUCCUACGUUUAUGUUGUGUGUGCGUGUGAGCGCGUGCUUUCUUGAGUUUAUCUCCUCUUUUUUUUGCUGUGUGCUCUCUAUGUCAG
rnacentral:misc_RNA from 1 species